rnacentral:lncRNA from 1 species
AAUGUUGGCUUAAAUGGCGUGAGGCUGGGUUGGACCGAGUCACAUUCGAAAUGGCGUGAGACUGGAUAGGCCGAGUCACGUUCGAAGUGGCGUGAGGCUGGGUGGACCGAGUUACAAUUGAGACCCGUGGGCGCUGUAUCAGUACGCUUUAAGUGAAUUGGUUGUGUAUUUCUAAUAGCUCGAGCUUUUGGAAUUAAUGAUUAGCGCCAACAAUCCGACAUGUAAAGCCACCAUGAGUUGGACAGUUGACAGUG